GACGAACGCUGGCGGCGUGCCUAAUACAUGCAAGUAGAACGCUGAAGAGAGGAGCUUGCUCUUCUUGGAUGAGUUGCGAACGGGUGAGUAACGCGUAGGUAACCUGCCUUGUAGCGGGGGAUAACUAUUGGAAACGAUAGCUAAUACCGCAUAACAAUGGAUGACACAUGUCAUUUAUUUGAAAGGGGCAAUUGCUCCACUACAAGAUGGACCUGCGUUGUAUUAGCUAGUAGGUGAGGUAACGGCUCACCUAGGCGACGAUACAUAGCCGACCUGAGAGGGUGAUCGGCCACACUGGGACUGAGACACGGCCCAGACUCCUACGGGAGGCAGCAUUAGGGAAUCUUCGGCAAUGGGGGCAACCCUGACCGAGCAACGCCGCGUGAGUGAAGAAGGUUUUCGGAUCGUAAAGCUCUGUUGUAAGUCAAGAACGAGUGUGAGAGUGGAAAGUUCACACUGUGACGGUAGCUUACCAGAAAGGGACGGCUAACUACGUG
rnacentral:rRNA from 1 species